AAAUGAAUAGACGGGGACCCGCACAAGCGGUGGAGCAUGUGGUUUAAUUCGACGCAACGCGAAGAACCUUACCAGGGCUUGACAUCCCGGGCCAACUCUGGAAACAGAGCUUUCGGACCUUCGGGUCCGACUCGGAGACAGGUGGUGCAUGGUUGUCGUCAGCUCGUGUCGUGAGAUGUUGGGUUAAGUCCCGCAACGAGCGCAACCCCUACUUUUAGUUGCCAGCACAUUAAGGUGGGCACUCUAGAGGAACCGCCGGUGACAAAUCGGAGGAAGGUGGGGACGACGUCAAAUCAUCAUGCCCUUUAUGUCCUGGGCUACACACGUGCUACAAUGGUCGGUACAGAGGGCAGCGAAGCCGCGAGGUGGAGCGAAUCCCAUAAAGCCGGUCUCAGUUCGGAUUGCAGUCUGCAACUCGACUGCAUGAAGUCGGAAUCGCUAGUAAUCGCGAGUCAGCAUAUCGCGGUGAAUACGUUCCCGGGUCUUGCACACACCGCCCGU
rnacentral:rRNA from 1 species